rnacentral:rRNA from 1 species
UACAGAGGGGGCAAGCGUUGUUCGGAUUCACUGGGCGUAAAGGGUGCGCAGGCGGCCAAGUGUGUCAGGUGUGAAAUCCCGAGGCUUAACCUCGGAACUGCGCCUGAAACUACUUGGCUAGAGUACUGGAGAGGGUAACGGAAUUCACGGUGUAGCAGUGAAAUGCGUAGAUAUCGUGAGGAACACCAGAGGCGAAGGCGGUUACCUGGACAGUUACUGACGCUCAGGCACGAAAGCGUGGGGAGCAAAAGGG